GCCAUCGAUGAUACCCCACCACUAAUAGCUUUCAGGUCGAAAAUCGAAGAGCAUACAUACAAUAUUUUAUUGCUGGUUUUGGUGGUAAAUUUGCAUUGUUAACGGCCGUGGCCAGACGUGCUCCGCUUCUUUAACACACACGUCUCUCAAACCGAAUACCGAUCAUCAAGUGUUUCCCCUAUAUUGACUCACGUAUAUAGCCACAUGUAAAAUAAAUAAAGAAUUAAGAAACCAAAACAACAACAAUACUGAUACUGAUACCGAAAAGCAACUAAACCGAAAAAAUGUAUACUAAAUACAUGCCCGUAUGUAUCACAUAAGACCGCCAUCCUGCCAUUUGCCGUUGCCGUUGACACUGUUGUAUCUGUAUCUGUAUCUCAAUCUCACUGACCAACUAUCAAAGCAAGCGCAAAUGCAACAGCAACUGCAACUGCAAAACUGCACAUAUCUCAACCUCAGCUCAACUCAAGCUCAGCUCAACUUUUAAAAGAAUAAUCCUCGAACUGCCUACAAGUCCAAACCAACCAACCAACAAACCUAUCAACCAACCUGAACCAACCAAUCAAUCAACUGUCUACCGCAACUGGCAACCGAACGGCUUUAGUUUGUAAGCUUUGUUUUUUUUUUGUUGUUGUUUUUUUAUAUACCUGUUAAUAGUAUAGAAGACUGAAGAAAAAACAAGAAAAAAAGAGUACCAAGUACCUUGUAAUUAUUUGUAUUUGUCCUAUGUUCUCUUAAUGGUUCCAAAUACGAUCUAACCCGUCCAUUUAUGCUAUAUACUAUAUACUCUAUAUACGACAACACGACUUU